CAGUAUAAAUCAUUUUCAGUCAUAUCUACGUGAUCUCCCAACUGAUCACAGGGAUAAUGUGAAAUCUUUCUGAUUUAAAAUGGGGUUAUUUGGGGGGGGACAGGACGUGGGGCCUGUGGGCCAAGUCAGGCCCCUUAAAAAGAGAAGUGCCUGGCCUCUGGCAACCUUACCUCAUUUUAAAUGAGGUGUGGCUCAGAGUUUGUUGUGAUUUCAGUGUGUGUGUGUGUAUAUGUGUGUGUGUGCAUUGUGUGAGAGAUCCUUCAAUAAGAGGUCUUUUGGAGUUUCAUGCAUGAUUUCCCUUGUAUAACUGAGGACAUUUGUUCCAUAACUUUGUGUGGGAUGGAGCAGAUAUUACAGAGUCCCAUGGAAGGGGCAGUUUAUGUGACAAAAUAGUCCACUUCUAACUUUCCUACCUUGCUCUCUCAAGAUUCAACUUGGCAUCUGAUGAAGUAGGCUGUUGGCUAUGAAAGCUCAUGCCAAUUUGCAAUAAAAAGCUUAUGAAGAAGUAAUCUCAAGGUGCUGUCAAAUAUGUAUCUAAUAAUAAUAAUGAUAAAAAUAAUAAUAAACUAGCACAACUUCCAUAUUACAUAAAUCAGGGUAUUUUUAUUAUGAGAAUGUGCAGUAGAAAGUAUUGGGUUCACACACAGCCUCCUUUGCUCCCCCGCCCCCAUCCUCUUGUUCUAAUAUGAGGGAAGAGUAGAAGUGUCCUGUUCUGGCUUGCAGCAAAUUGUGAUUUGUCCUCAAAACAAAGAGACACACAAACCAUGGUUUAUCUUCAUCUCCUGCUGUGCUUUUGGGAUCUUCACUUGACAGCACUCUACGGGUUGCUGCAAACUAGAAGCAGAAGCUUUACUCUCACCUCAUGUAUGAAAUAAGAGAGAAGGGUUGGAGGGCAUCUGCAAACCUGAUGAUUGGCACUGCUCUUUCUCUAAAGGACAAACUGUGUUUUGACAUUAUGUCUGAAUUAAGAUACAUACAAGAUGCAAAGUUUUAACUGGAAAACACAAGUCAGAUUGUUGCUUAACUGUGAUCCUGGGCACAUUUACUUGGAAACAAGUUCCUUUGAAACAAAAGGUUUUAUUCUAAGUAACUUUACGUCCCUUUUCUAAAGGCAUUUUGUAUGAAAGUAACUGCGAGUCUUCUAGAUGACAUGCAUGGAGUUUCCAGGCAGUCUUCCAUCUAGAAACUGGCUGGAUCCAGACCUACUUAGCUUCAGCAGGGUCCAGGCUAUGAUAGGGAGCCAUUCCUUCCACUAGGCAAGUUGCUUUAAGCAGAUGUUUGAGAGAGCAGGGAAACAGCUGCUAUCCUGCUGUAACAAGUCUUGUUAUUGUGUUGAGUGUUUUGGCCCACUUCCAGAGGACAGCCCUGUUCUAUAGUGGUCACAGUGUUCUGAAGAGGACAUGAUGGGCCUCAAUAUGGACUGGAGAAAGAGUAUGGGUGGCACUUGGACAUGUGUCUAUAUAGGAGCAAUAAAUAGGAGCAUUAAACAAAGGACAGAGCAGAGUGCUAUCCAGUGGACACCCAUCAUUUAAACCAAUUUGAAAGUCAUAGUUUCUCCAGAAUUGUAGUUUUGUAGAUCCUUAGAGCUCUUUGUUAUUUUUGUGAGAAAGCUGAGGAUAUAUCAGUGCAAUGGCAUAGCUCAGUCUUUCACAAUGAUCAUGCGCUUUUUCAGAAAAACACCAAAUAUACAACAUUUCUGGAAUAAUAUAUAGUGCUCAUUUUCAGACAUUGCUGUGCACAUGCAUAUCUGAUUGAGCAUGGCAUAACACACCCAUAGUAUAAUUGUUCGCUUU